GUGUCAGCAGCCGCGGUAAGACGAAGGAUGCAAGCGUUAUCCGGAUUCAUUGGGUUUAAAGGGUGCGUAGGCGGUCCUGUAAGUCAGUGGUGAAAGCUCUCCGCUUAACGGAGAAACUGCCAUUGAUACUGCAAGACUUGAGUACAGAUGAUGUUGGCGGAAUAUGACAUGUAGCGGUGAAAUGCAUAGAUAUGUCAUAGAACACCGAUUGCGAAGGCAGCUGACAAAACUGUAACUGACGCUGAGGCACGAAAGUGUGGGGAUCAAACAGGAUUAGAUACCCUGGUAGUCC
rnacentral:rRNA from 1 species